AACGAACGCUGGCGGCAUGCCUAACACAUGCAAGUCGAACGAUUGCCUUCGGGUGAUAGUGGCGCACGGGUGCGUAACGCGUGGGAAUCUGCCCUUAGGUUCGGAAUAACAGCUGGAAACGGCUGCUAAUACCGGAUGAUAUCGCGAGAUCAAAGAUUUAUCGCCUGAGGAUGAGCCCGCGUUGGAUUAGGUAGUUGGUGGGGUAAAGGCCUACCAAGCCGACGAUCCAUAGCUGGUCUGAGAGGAUGAUCAGCCACACUGGGACUGAGACACGGCCCAGACUCCUACGGGAGGCAGCAGUGGGGAAUAUUGGACAAUGGGCGCAAGCCUGACCCAGCAAUGCCGCGUGAGUGAUGAAGGCCCUAGGGUUGUAAAGCUCUUUUACCCGGGAAGAUAAUGACUGUACCGGGAGAAUAAGCCCCGGCUAACUCCGUG
rnacentral:rRNA from 1 species